UACUGCUUGACCAUAUAUGUGAAAUGCUCUUCUAUAGUUAGGCCAUUUGUCUCUAUUGUCAAAUUUAUGGAAAGAAAAUUUUACUAACGUUAAUUCAUUUGUACUGGAGUCAUAUUAGGUUUCUAGUUGUAGGCCUCCGAGUGGGAAUACAUUUGUUUCCUGCUUUUCUCAGUGGGGAAUAUAAAUGUGCCAUUUAAUUUCGCAAAUUACAGCUGUGAUCCAUGCUUAAGUACAUCAAGCAAGUGAUAUAAUCCAAAGAUUGCCUAUGAAGACUGUCAGCUCACAAGAAAGCCUAUUCUCCUAAGACUUCCCGACCCACUCUGCAGGAUAUUAAAGGAAAAAUUCCUCCAAGAUAAACACUUCAUCUUUGAAUAAAGCAUUGUGCUUAUCUUACUGAAAAGACUAAUUCAUCAGAGUCAGGAAACAGUACUAAAAAUAGGAUCACAGUUGACACGCACGGUUGUGUAGGAGUACGAAAACUGAACCAAACUUGGACAGAGAACUUCAUGAAAGUCAAUGUGGAAAAUAUAUUUUUCUCCAGAUGACGAAAGGGGAGGCUUUGCCCUCAGAUUGGUAAUUAACUUAAAAAUUAAUGGACAAAGACUGAAGUGUGAUCUUGACUUCAUGGCACAAUUGACUGACCCGGCCCCAGGAAACUGCUCUCCUUGGCUUCCCAGUCUUGUCUUGAAAAAUGUUGAAGACAGAAGCUACAGAGUGACUCAGAUAUUUCACAACCUAGGAGCCAUUCCAAAACAUGUUAAGCAUUUCAUGACAAUCUGUAUGGGUGACUUAAAAAUAUAUUGUUACAGUUAAAAGUAUACCAAUGGAAUAUUACUCAGGUAUCAGAACGGAUGAAUACUUACUAUUUGCAUCGACAUGGAUGGAACUGGAGGGUAUCAUGCUGAGUGAAGUAAGUCAUUUGGAGAAAGACAUUAUCAUAUGGUUUCACUCACAUGUGGAAUAUAAAAAACAGAGCAGUGGAUCAAAGGGAAGGGGGGGAACUGAAUGGGAAGUCAUCGGAGAGGGAGACAAACCAUUAAAGACUCUUAGCUCUAGGGAACAAACUGAGGGUUGCUGGAGGGGAGGUUAAAUGGGGGGAUGGAGUGAUUGGGUGAUGGGCAUUAAAGUGGGCACAUGAUGUGAUGAGCACUGGAAAUUACACGCAACUGAUAAAUUACUGAACGCUAAAAAAAUAAAUAAAAGUUUAUACAGUAUACUUAGCA
rnacentral:lncRNA from 12 species